CCUACGGGAGGCAGCAGUGAGGAAUAUUGGUCAAUGGGCGGAAGCCUGAACCAGCCAAGUAGCGUGCAGGAUGACGGCCCUACGGGUUGUAAACUGCUUUUAUACGGGAAUAACGCGCCUUACGUGUAGGGCUUUGCAUGUACCGUAUGAAUAAGGACCGGCUAAUUCCGUGCCAGCAGCCGCGGUAAUACGGAAGUUCCGGGCGUUAUCCGGAGUUAUUAGGUGUAAAGGGAGCGUAGGCCGCAUGUCAAGCGUGCUGUGAAAUGUCCGGGCUCAACCCGGGCCUUGCAGCGCGAACUGGCGUGCCGUUGAGACUGACGCCCUUGAGUGAGUGAGAAGUAAGCGGAAUGCGUGGUGUAGCGGUGAAAUGCAGAGAUAUCACGCAGAACGCCGAUUGCGAAGGCAGGUUCCCGGCGCUCAACUGACGCUGAGGCACGAAAGUGCGGGUAUCGAACAGGAUUAGAUACCCUUGUAGUC
rnacentral:rRNA from 1 species